AUGGAGGUUGUGGUGAAGACGACGCUCACCUACAAGUUCUGGCCCAAGAAGGCCGUCUACUACCAUGAGUACAGCUGCCAGCUCAUGUUCCCUGACCCGGCCAAGGCCAACGGCGGCGCGCACUCGGUCAACGGGGAUGUCAGGGGCCUCCGAGCUGGCCCAUUGUAUAUAUGUUUCACGUGUAAAGGAUUGCUAAAUUCAUCAUCUAGAAGGCCCAACUCUCGCCCUUCUUCUUCUUUGGAUGAGAAGGCGCAGGCUCACUAUCAUCCAUUUCCUCUUCCUCAGGCUCAUCCACACAUGUGUCUCCUUCAUAGUAGUACCAAGGGUCCUCUCUGCAACUUCAGUUGUUCCAAUCUAUGA
rnacentral:rRNA from 1 species